UACGUAGGGGGCAAGCGUUGUCCGGAUUUAUUGGGCGUAAAGAGCGUGUAGGCGGCCAGGUAGGUCUGCUGUGAAAACUCGAGGCUUAACCUCGAGAUGUCGGCGGAAACCAUCUGGCUAGAGUCCGGAAGAGGAGAGUGGAAUUCCUGGUGUAGCGGUGAAAUGCGUAGAUAUCAGGAGGAACACCUGUGGCGAAAGCGGCUCACUGGACCAUAACUGACGCUGAGGCGCGAAAGCUAGGGGAGCAAACGGG
rnacentral:rRNA from 1 species